rnacentral:rRNA from 1 species
UACAGAGGUCUCAAGCGUUGUUCGGAUUCAUUGGGCGUAAAGGGUGCGUAGGCGGCGCGGUAAGUCGGGUGUGAAAUUUCGAGGCUUAACUUCGAAACUGCAUUCGAUACUGCCGUGCUUGAGGACUGGAGAGGAGACUGGAAUUCCUGGUGUAGCGGUGAAAUGCGCAGAUAUCAGGAGGAACACCGGUGGCGAAGGCGGGUCUCUGGGCCGAUACUGACGCUGAGGAGCGAAAGCGUGGGGAGCGAACAGG